GAGAGGUGGCUGAGUGGUCGAAAGCGCUCCCCUGCUAAGGGAGUAAGGUGGUAACGCCUUCGAGGGUUCGAAUCCCUUCCUCUCC
rnacentral:tRNA from 1 species